rnacentral:rRNA from 1 species
UACGUAGGGCGCAAGCGUUGUCCGGAAUUAUUGGGCGUAAAGAGCUCGUAGGCGGUUUGUCACGUCGGAUGUGAAAGCCCGGGGCUUAACCCCGGGUCUGCAUUCGAUACGGGCAGACUGGAGUGUGGUAGGGGAGAUCGGAAUUCCUGGUGUAGCGGUGGAAUGCGCAGAUAUCAGGAGGAACACCGGUGGCGAAGGCGGAUCUCUGGGCCAUAACUGACGCUGAGGAGCGAAAGCAUGGGGAGCGAACAGG